UCGACAACACCAUCAACCAAAUCACGUGAGAAUCUUCAAAGCAAUCAAACCAAGAAGGAGGAUACAACAUAAACCAAUCACUGGCCACCAACUGCUCGAUGAAAGCACUGACACAAUCCAAACCAUAUGAAACCCACGUAAUCGGAAUGUAGAAAAGUUUUCGAAAAUGCUAAAAGAACCCAUGCCACAUACUCCCUAUCCUCCCGAAUCGAAAAACACAAGUCCUGACAACUGAAAACCCACAACCAGACCAAAUAGACGACGCAACCAUAAUCCCACCAGCUCCAAAAACCAAAAGCCGAAGCUCAACGUGAAAACACCAACAUUCUAUCUAAAAACAGCAUGGUAAUGAUGAAUAAUAAUCCAAACAAAUCGGCAAACACCAUAGAACCCCUCAAUCAGUAAAUCCCAGUCAAACUGAAUCUACAACAAAUCAUCGAAAAAACUGAGGGGAGCCAGAAAACCAUGCACGAACAAUCGAAGAUCGACCAAAAUCCACCAACAUCUAACUGAAAGACCUUCUUCCUGCUACCAAAAUAACAAAUAAACACAAACCUCCAACGAGCACCACCCCAAAAAAUACAAGGCAAAACCCAAAUUAUAUGUUGCCACCAUCCUUCUUCCAUGUCAUGACUAACCAAAAUAUCUGCUACAGCAUGACCUUCCCGAUAAAUAUGCAAAACCCUCAACUCAGUGUCACGUAAAAGCUUUAAAAUUUUCUCCAAGUAGCCACAAACUGCCAUGGGACCACGGUCCAACGACUCAAGCAAACGAACCACAUAACUAGAAUUAGCUUCUAUCCAAAGAUUCACCCAACGUGCGCAAUCUUAGCAUAUCUGACGAAUAAUACAACACAAACAAAUCAUUAAUAUGAAAUUCAUGAUUAUACAGAUAGGCCUGUACGGGUGUACUCACAAUAUGAGUUUUUAAAUUUGCUCUUCAAUAUAAUUAAGAAAUUUUUAUUAAAGCUCCAUGUAAAGAACUACCUUUCUUAUACGAGAAUAACUAGAAAUUUCACACGACGUGGUGUUUCCAUAAUUGCCCUGCAAUUAUGUAAAGUUUUCCUUAUACCGAGUUCAAACAACACUAAAUUAACCAAUAUCCAAUAUUUUUUUUUUGAUGAUAUAAAAGUGUUUUAGCACAAAAUAUAAAUUGUCUAUUACAUCCCUAUUAUAUAUUUAAUUUUAAGGGUAAUUGUGUAAAUUAUGUACUCCCUCCGUCCCAACGAAGAUGCUACAUUUUUAAAUAUGAAAAAAAAGAGAUUUUAAUUGCAAAAUUACAACUAAUUAAUCACUCUUUUAUUACCUUCUCUCUCAUACUUUAUUAUUUUAUUAACAUUCUCUCUCUUACUUUAUCACUUUUAUACUACACACUUAAAACACUAAUCUACAACUCCUAAAAUCUCGUGCCGAAAAGAAAUGUAUCAUCUUGGUUCUAUAUUUAGAAGAAUAUAUUAAUUCAAUAGAUAUUAAAGUACUAUAAAAUAUAUUAAUUAAUUACAUUACCUUAUCUAAAAUUUAUUUGAGAUAUGUAUCUAGAACUCUUUUAGAAUCCUAAAACAGAUAAAAAUCUUAUAGAAUCUAAUUACUUAAUUAGAUAAAUGAAAAACUUUUAGUUCUAAUGAUUUUAUUAAUUAAUUUAGAGAUAUUAAUGUGUGAAAACAAAUGAGAGAUAAUAUAAACGCUUCCCCUCCAACCAAUAGGUCGGGGGUUCAAGUCAUCACAGAGGAAAAUAAAGAAUCAUUAUCGAUCCUCUUUAGAAUAUAAAGAAAAAAGAGAGAGAUAAUAUUUAAAUUAAAUAAAUACAUGUAUCUAUCAAUUUAUUGUGGCUUAUAUUACUAGAGAUUGUAAUGAUGAUCAAACUGGAGAUGAUUCAACAAUAGGUUUAUAUUUAACAAGUUAUCAUAAUAUCCAUAAUUGUUACUCCCUUUGUUCCAUUACAAAUGUCUCAUUAAUUUUGGCACAGAAAUUAAAGAACAUGUAAUUAGUAGAUACAGAAUCGAUCACCUACCCACCGUGGGCAUGCAUACGUGCCCACCAUGAUGUGGCAAUUGUAAUUAUAGUAAGAUAAUUUUAAUUAGAGUAAGAUUUAAUAAUUCUCAUUCCUAAUUAAAAUUGCCACGUCAGUGGUGGGCACAUUAUACUUGCCCACGGUGGGUAGGUGAUCGGUUCUGUUAGUAGAUAUAGUGGGCCCAUUAAUUAAAUAGUCUCUUAAUUAUUUGCCAAAAAAAGGAAUGAGACAUUUGUAAUGAAACAUCCUAUUAUGGAAACUGAGACAUUUGUAAUAGGACGGAGGGAGUAUAUUUUAAUAAUUAUUAAUUUAUAAUAUUAACAAGAUCUAUAUAUUUAUAAAGGAAUUCUCUAAAAAAUUAUUAUUAUAUUAAAAUCGAUUACUUUUUAAAUUGACCUAAUUAAGUUGGGACCAAAUAAAUUUAUUACUAGUUUAUAGAGGUUAUUAAUUUAUUUGAGUGUUAUUUUAAUUAAAAAGGUUUUACUAUAAUAGAAUCAAAUAGACCAAAUUACUAAUUAAAAAUUUAGAUAUAAUAAAUACUAUAUUUAUAUAUUUUACUUUUAUCAAAUAAAAUAAUAUUAAUUAUGCGUACACGUUCUUUUUGCUAGUUCCUUAUGAAUGAAAUCGGAACUGUUAACCAAAAAAUAAGCUAGCAUAAACGAUAUUAUACCUCUUAAAUGCAUAUGUCAACGAGAAGCCUUAGAUGUACGCUUAGGCUGAGAAACAUUCACAAUUUGACGGAGACAACGGCUGAUUCCUAAUUCUGGAUGCAAGAUCGACAAGAAAGUCAAUAUAAGUUAUAAAACAAUUAAAGGAAAUAAAAUUUAUUAUAACAAUACCUAUUAUAUUACCAAUAUGAAGCAACAACAUUUUUUGGGCCAACCCAAACUUGGCAAUUUUUAGAAAAAACACCUGACAAGUGAAAACGAAAAAAUACAAAAAACAAUA
rnacentral:lncRNA from 1 species